UGGGGAAUAUUGCAUAAUGGAGGGAACUCUGAUGCAGCGACGCCGCGUGAACGAAGAAGGCUUUCGCGUCGUAAAGUUCUUUUAUAUGGGAAGAUAAUGACGGUACCAUAAGAAAAAGCCCCGGCUAACUACGUGCCAGCAGCCGCGGUAAUACGUAGGGGGCUAGCGUUGUCCGGAAUCACUGGGCGUAAAGGGUUCGCAGGCGGAAAUGCAAGUCAGGUGUAAAAGGCAGUAGCUUAACUACUGUAAGCAUUUGAAACUGCAUAUCUUGAGAAGAGUAGAGGUAAGUGGAAUUUUUAGUGUAGCGGUGAAAUGCGUAGAUAUUAAAAAGAAUACCGGUGGCGAAGGCGGCUUACUGGGCUCAUUCUGACGCUGAGGAACGAAAGCGUGGGUAGCAAACAGG
rnacentral:rRNA from 1 species